rnacentral:rRNA from 1 species
AACGAACGCUGGCGGCAUGCCUAACACAUGCAAGUCGAACGAGAUCUUCGGGUCUAGUGGCGCACGGGUGCGUAACGCGUGGGAAUGUGCCCCUUGGUUCGGAAUAACAGUUGGAAACGACUGCUAAGACCGGAAGAUGACGAAAGUCCAUAGAUUUAUCGCCAGAGGAUGAGCCCGCGUAGGAUUAGCUAGUUGGUGUGGUAAAGGCGAACCAAGGCGACGAUCCUUAGCUGUUCUGAGAGGAUGAUCAGCCACACUGGGACUGAGACACGGCCCAGACUCCUACGGGAGGCAGCAGUGGGGAAUAUUGGACAAUGGGCGAAAGCCUGAUCCAGCAAUGCCGCGUGAGUGAUGAAGGCCUUAGGGUUGUAAAGCUCUUUUACCCGGGAUGAUAAUGACAGUACCGGGAGAAUAAGCUCCGGCUAACUCCGUGCCAGCAGCCGCCGUAA